rnacentral:lncRNA from 1 species
GUCAUUGUCGAGGUUGGUCAUGUCAGUCAGCGAUGGUCAUGUCACGUUUCCGAAAGUUUUUGAAAAAAAUCUAUAUUUCUUAUAACAUUUUGGUUUCAAAAUAUGACAUAUCAUUUUAUAUUUCAAAUCUGAGAUAAUUCCUUUGAAAAAUAAAAAAAGUUAUUAGCAUUUUUAUUUGGUCCUGUCAUUGUCGAUGUUGGUCCUGUCAUUACCAGAGUUGGUCAUGUCACGUUUUCUAAAGUUUCUUACAAUUUUUUUUUAUUUAUUUUUUUAAAUCUAUAAAUCAAAUGAUGAAAUCUUAUUAUAUUUCAAAUAUGAGAUCAAUCCUUUGAGAAAUGAAAAAGUUAUUAGCAUUUUUCAUUUGGUCCUGUCAUUCGGUCCUGUCAUUCGGUCCAGUCAUUAGUGUAACCCUCU